UGAUGUUCUUGGCCUUUUGGCUAAGAUCAAGUGUAGUAUCUGUUCUUAUCAGUUUAACACCUGAUACAUGGGCCAUUGGCUCACAUGAUAUUAAAUUAAAACUUCUU
rnacentral:snRNA from 1 species